rnacentral:rRNA from 1 species
CAGGGCGGCAUGCUAUACAUGCAGUCGAGCGAACAGACGAGGAGCUUGCUCCUCUGACGUUAGCGGCGGACGGGUGAGUAACACGUGGAUAACCUACCUAUAAGACUGGGAUAACUUCGGGAAACCGGAGCUAAUACCGGAUAAUAUAUUGAACCGCAUGGUUCAAUAGUGAAAGACGGUUUUGCUGUCACUUAUAGAUGGAUCCGCGCCGCAUUAGCUAGUUGGUAAGGUAACGGCUUACCAAGGCAACGAUGCGUAGCCGACCUGAGAGGGUGAUCGGCCACACUGGAACUGAGACACGGUCCAGACUCCUACGGGAGGCAGCAGUAGGGAAUCUUCCGCAAUGGGCGAAAGCCUGACGGAGCAACGCCGCGUGAGUGAUGAAGGUCUUCGGAUCGUAAAACUCUGUUAUUAGGGAAGAACAAAUGUGUAAGUAACUAUGCACGUCUUGACGGUACCUAAUCAGAAAGCCACGGCUAACUACGUGCCACGCAGGGCGAAAAUA